GAGUUUGAUCGUGGCUCAGAUUGAACGCUGGCGGCAUGCCUUACACAUGCAAGUCGAACGGCAGCACGGGAGCUUGCUCCUGGUGGCGAGUGGCGAACGGGUGAGUAAUGCAUCGGAACGUAUCCUGGAGUGGGGGAUAACGUAGCGAAAGUUACGCUAAUACCGCAUAUUCUGUGAGCAGGAAAGCGGGGGACCUUCGGGCCUCGCGCUCUUGGAGCGGCCGAUGUCGGAUUAGCUAGUUGGUGAGGUAAAGGCUCACCAAGGCGACGAUCCGUAGCAGGUCUGAGAGGAUGAUCUGCCACACUGGAACUGAGACACGGUCCAGACUCCCACGGGAGGCAGCAGUGGGGAAUUUUGGACAAUGGGGGCAACCCUGAUCCAGCCAUGCCGCGUGAGUGAAGAAGGCCUU
rnacentral:rRNA from 1 species